rnacentral:rRNA from 1 species
UACAGAGGGGGCAAGCGUUGUUCGGAAUUACUGGGCGUAAAGGGCGCGUAGGCGGCCUUCUAAGUCGAACGUGAAAUCCCCGGGCUCAACCCGGGAACUGCGUCCGAUACUGGAAGGCUUGAAUCCGGGAGAGGGAUGCGGAAUUCCAGGUGUAGCGGUGAAAUGCGUAGAUAUCUGGAGGAACAUCAGUGGCGAAGGCGACACCCUGGACUCAUACUGACACUGAGGUGCGAAAGCGUGGGGAGCGAACAGG